AUGCUUGUUGUGGCAGCACAUAUACUAAAAUUGGAAUGAAACAGAGAAGAUUAGCAUGACCCCUGCACAAGGAUGACAUGCAAAUUCAUGAAGAGUUCCAUAUUUUU